rnacentral:rRNA from 1 species
CCUACGGGAGGCAGCAGUAGGGAAUAUUGCGCAAUGGGGGCAACCCUGACGCAGCAAUGCCGCGUGAGUGAAGAAGGCCUUCGGGUCGUAAAGCUCUUUUAUGGGGGAAGAUGAUGACGGUACCCCAUGAAUAAGCACCGGCUAACUACGUGCCAGCAGCCGCGGUAAUACGUAGGGUGCGAGCGUUGUUCGGAAUUACUGGGCGUAAAGGGCGCGCAGGCGGAAUAGCAAGUCGGAGGUGAAAGCCCGGGGCUCAACCCCGGAGGGUCUUUCGAAACUGCUAAUCUAGAGAGGGUCAGGGGCCAGCAGAAUUCCUGGUGUAGAGGUGAAAUUCGUAGAUAUCAGGAGGAAUACCGGUGGCGAAAGCGGCUGGCUGGGACCACUCUGACGCUGAGGCGCGAAAGCGUGGGGAGCAAACAGGAUUAGAUACCCUGGUAGUCCACGCCGUAAACGAUGAGCACUGGAUGUCUGGAGAGUUCGACCUCUUUGGGUGUCUCAGCUAACGCAUUAAGUGCUCCGCCUGGGGAGUACGGUCGCAAGACUAAAACUCAAAUGAAUUGACGG